GCGUUUUCAUUCCGUGUCACGAAUUUUUUAUACAUCCGAGUGGAUUUCGGUUGGGCAGUUAAUUGGCACAUGUGUGUGAGAGGCGAAGCCCAGCUGCCCAAGGCCGGCCGGCGCAUGUCUGCUCUGAACCCAACUCGUCACAACCGAACUAGUUGGGAGUCCUUUUGUAAGGGAAUUAUUUUGUCAUCAAAGUCUCUUCAAAACUUUCAUCGUCGUCGUCAUAUCGGAUGCUGUAUAAGUGUACAUUGCCAUAAGAAAUCACCAGCGCCACGCUGUCAUAAAAAAAAAGAAUUUUUGAAUUUGCGCGUUUUCACUCGGCGUGGCGAUUUUCUUAUAUAAAUCCAAGGGAUUUUAGCUGGUUGGUAGGGCAGGCUGAAGCAGAAACCCGGUGGUAUCCUGGUCCGGCCAUAUCUGCUAGACAGUAGACACCAUACGCAUACGGCUGCGGAAUCAUUUUUCUAAUCCCCAUGUGGGGGAUUACAAGUGUUAGGUGCCCAUCAAUGACCCUGAUGCCGACGCCGCUAGUCUCUCUCUCCCACUCUCGUGCAUGCACACACGCAGCUGAAGCUGAACAACACCCCCCAUAAACGGCAUGAUGAUUAGGGUGGCCCCGGCCUGUCAUUGUCUCCGGCACUAGCAGUCGCCGCUGCUGCCGCUGGCACGUCCUGUAGUAGUCCACCGCGCGUGGAAGAGACGGGAUGAUGCCGCUGCAGGGGCCGAACGAAAUGCCUCCUCAGAAGGGCAAGCAAAACGCGGCGGCGUGUCUGAAGCGUCAAGAUGACAGGGAAACCCCAUGCUCGAUGCCUCGAUCGGUCGGUCGGUCGGUCGGUCGGUAAACGGAGUGAUCUGCAGAAAUCUCGAGAGACAUUUCAUUUGAGGUGAUAAUGAUGCCAGCCAUCGAGUGUUACGACAAUAUCAAAGCAAUAAUGCCGAACAAAUAAAGGUGGAAGUAAUUGUUAGAAAUCUUCAGAAGAAAGUUAGCUAGCUCUUGCCUCUUCUGAUCUGAUCAGACGUGGAAUGCGCCAAGCCUGCUGCGCUACGAGACACAUUCCUGGAGGCACCAAGGGAAGG
rnacentral:lncRNA from 1 species